CAUAGAUCAAUUACAAUAUGAUGAAUUAAUUUUUAUAGUCUCGUUCGUAUGAAAUUUAGUGAUUUCAAACAUACCACUUUACUGAACAAAUAUUGGUACUUAUAACUUAUGAGCUUAAUCUAUAAAUCAUCUCUAACAAGAUUUUUCAUUACAGGUUAUUUACAUCCUGGAAGUAACAUGCCAUUCAAUUGUGGAAUACCACAAAAUCAAGAAUGGAAGGUGCUAAACAUGCCAUCAGACCUAACAUGAUAUUCUGAACUGACUGUGGACACUACAAGGACCAAGUGAUUGAGACAGAGUGGUGGCAACACUGACUACACCACCGGGUUGAAAUGAAAUAGAACAGAUAUCUGCAGCACACAUUUUUUACAGGACAGGACCGAAUGAAAUAAUGAUAAAAAUGCUGCAACAGAGACACAGGAUUGCUGAAUUUCCAUGUAAUAUCCAGAAUAAACGUCUCUAUCUUCGAUCGAUCUACUUAUCUGUAAAGCUGCUGAUACGAGAAAAAGGGUGUGGGACAUCAAUGAAUAAACUCAAAAACAUCCAAUAAGUUGAUCUGGUGUUGUCUUGGACUUGACGAACAUCGUACAUUCCGUUGAACAAAGUAACAUGAUCUGCAGUAUUCUUGGUCACCAUUGGAUUAAAUACAAUGAAGAUUGUUGAAAUAUCUCCUGAUUUCUUGAUGUAUGCACAUUGAACAAUGAACAAAAUGCAACCCAAAUGAUUGAAGAAUAACUACAAGUCCUUUGAAUUUUGCUCCAUCUACAUCUACACCAUGGAAUUUCUCAACGAUGUGAAAGUAAAGCUGCAUAAUUGUAUUAAACAGGACAGCACAACGAUAUGUAUCUACCAAAAAAAAAACUGUGCAACAUUCUGCUUUUUUCAUGGAUUUUGAUCAUCUUGAGACUCCAAAUCAAAGAAUAACUAAACUGCAGCUUUUUUUUGGUUUUAUCCACAUACUACAUCUAAGAUAAGAUGAAAUGAAAAUAAUUUAAUGAAUAGUUUAUUCCUGAAAACUGCCCUACAACUCUUCUCUUCUAAAUCGAAAGAUAUGCUAUCCACGAAGAAAGGUUUCGUGGUUGGAUAAGGAUUAUGUGACCACGGAAUAAAUUAAUAGAUUCGUCAAGCCUAAAAUGGUGUACUUAGAGGAAACAAGUGCUGGCACAAGGACAAAAUUAUAAGAUUUAAUACCAAAACAAUGGGGCUGAGCCGAGUACUGGCUGGAGAAAAUUAUAAUAGCAGAAGAUAAUAAUAUGAUAUGUGGGGACAUGUCACACACCGACAGAUACAUCAACACCAAUGUCCAUAUGCGAUACCUCCAAUGUUACCAGAGAAUAAGUGUGCAAGUCUUCUGUGGGGUAUUCUUCUUUGCUUUUACAUUGCAAAUAAGGUAAAUUUAGCUGCUCACCGACAACGACAUUGUGUUAAAUAUUAUAUAAUUAAUUUAAGCGUAAAUAAUGUCAUUUUUAAUAUUACUUCAUAAUAAAACACGAUCGUAUCGAUCAAAUAAUGUAUUAUCAAUUUAUGGUUAACCAUAUCCUCUUCCUUUUCGAUAGGGUCCUGUACAAACAUAGUAUUUGAGCAUCGCACUCAAGGACCUACAAUAUUACCUAG